ACUAUCAUUAACUGAAUCCAUAGGUUAAUGAGGCGAACCGGGGGAACUGAAACAUCUAAGUACCCCGAGGAAAAGAAAUCAACCGAGAUUCCCCCAGUAGCGGCGAGCGAACGGGGAGGAGCCCAGAGCCUGAAUCAGCAUGUGUGUUAGUGGAAGCGUCUGGAAAGGCGCGCGAUACAGGGUGACAGCCCCGUACACAAAAGCGCAUGUGCUGUGAGCUCGAUGAGUAGGGCGGGACACGUGGUAUCCUGUCUGAAUAUGGGGGGACCAUCCUCCAAGGCUAAAUACUCCUGACUGACCGAUAGUGAACCAGUACCGUGAGGGAAAGGCGAAAAGAACCCCGGCGAGGGGAGUGAAAAAGAACCUGAAACCGUGUACGUACAAGCAGUGGGAGCACCCUUUGGGUGUGACUGCGUACCUUUUGUAUAAUGGGUCAGCGACUUAUAUUCUGUAGCAAGGUUAACCGAAUAGGGGAGCCGGAGGGAAACCGAGUCUUAACCGGGCGUUAAGUUGCAGGGUAUAGACCCGAAACCCGGUGAUCUAGCCAUGGGCAGGUUGAAGGUUGGGUAACACUAACUGGAGGACCGAACCGACUAAUGUUGAAAAAUUAGCGGAUGACCUGUGGCUGGGGGUGAAAGGCCAAUCAAACCGGGAGAUAGCUGGUUCUCCCCGAAAGCUAUUUAGGUAGCGCCUCGUGAAUUCAUCUCCGGGGGUAGAGCACUGUUUCGGCUAGGGGGCCAUCCCGGCUUACCAACCCGAUGCAAACUGCGAAUACCGGAGAAUGUUAUCACGGGAGACACACGGCGGGUGCUAACGUCCGUCGUGAAGAGGGAAACAACCCAGACCGCCAGCUAAGGUCCCAAAGUCAUGGUUAAGUGGGAAACGAUGUGGGAAGGCCCAGACAGCCAGGAUGUUGGCUUAGAAGCAGCCAUCAUUUAAAGAAAGCGUAAUAGCUCACUGGUCGAGUCGGCCUGCGCGGAAGAUGUAACGGGGCUAAACCAUGCACCGAAGCUGCGGCAGCGACACUGUGUGUUGUUGGGUAGGGGAGCGUUCUGUAAGCCUGUGAAGGUGUGUCGUGAGGC
rnacentral:rRNA from 1 species